rnacentral:rRNA from 1 species
UACGUAGGGUGCGAGCGUUAAUCGGAAUUACUGGGCGUAAAGCGUGCGCAGGCGGUUAUGUAAGACAGAUGUGAAAUCCCCGGGCUCAAUCUGGGAACUGCAUUUGUGACUGCAUAGCUAGAGUACGGUAGAGGGGGAUGGAAUUCCGCGUGUAGCAGUGAAAUGCGUAGAUAUGCGGAGGAACACCGAUGGCGAAGGCAAUCCCCUGGACCUGUACUGACGCUCAUGCACGAAAGCGUGGGGAGCAAACAGG